ensembl:lncRNA
GGCGCCCCCGCGCCCGGGUUUGCGGGAAAGCGUAUAGGGGCGCGAGGCGCGGGCAGGGUCGUCUGGAUGCUGCGGGGACCGGCGGUCGGCCGGGCUGGGACGCCGGCGCGGGCUGCGGAGAAGGGCCGAGCCCCCGCGGCUGCCUCCGGCCCCGCGCUCCACCCGCCCGCUCGCUCUGAGUCUUUAUCCGGACCGGAGCGUGGGGAGCCGCGUCCUUAUCUGCGCCGGGAAGCGCGGGCUGGCGAGGUGGGGUCACGGGCCCGGGGCCAGCGCGGGGCGCCCGCGCCCUCGGCGCACGAUCGCGGGGCCGCGGGUGGGGUCGUGGGGACCCCAGCCCUGCGCGGCCCGCGGCCUCUCGCCUUCCUGGCGUCCACGGCCACUUCUCAGCUACGUCGAGGCCGUGAAUUUAGCGGGGAGGGCGACCGGGAGCAAGUGGCCGGGUUCCAGGUCCCGAUCUGUCCUGCCGGGCCUCUGGAGAAAACUGGUUCUUUCACUGGCACCUGGAAGUGCCCUUUCGGUGAACCUUUUGAAAAGGUCUGUGUUUGUGAAUGGCUCCCUCAAGCAAGGUAAAUAUUUGCCAAUAGCAAAAUCAAAUUUACUCCUCAGAUGGAAUAUGACUUUACACUGAUUAUUGUUGUAGAACUGUUUAAGGACUCCGUGUUUAAUAGUAUGGGCUAAAUGCACUCUUCACAAAGCAGCCUUUUGAGGGUGUGCUGGGGUGGGUGGACCAGGUGGGGGAUCAGGCAGCCUGGUCAUUAAGUGCAUGACUUAGAGCAGCCUGUGUCAAAGCUUUCCCUUGAAUCUAGCAGUUUUUUCUCAUUUCCAGGACUUGAGCAUCCAUUAACGGUGCAGCUUGGGUGAAUGAAACACAUGACACAGAUUUUGGUCUGAUGAGGAGGCCUCUCUCUCUCUCUCUCUCUCUCUCUCUCUCUCUCUCUCUCUCUCUCUUUUCUCUCUCCCUCCCUCUCUCUCAGCAAAGAGAGACUGACAGACAGUGAGAGUGAGCGGCCCUGUGCUGGGUCCCUCCCAGCUGCCCUCGGCGGCAGAGGUUGCAUCAGACUGGAGCCUGGAGCCAGGAUCUCAAGUGGGUGGCGGGGAUCCAGCUACUUGAGCCAGCACAGCUGCUUCCCGGCGUGGGUGUUAGCAAGAACCUGGAGUCGGGGGCCAGAGACGGGGCUCACACCCGGGCCCUGCACGGUCCCUCCGCGUCUCUACCACCAGGCCACAUGCCUGCUCCUGAAGUGGCUGCCUUCUUAGGGUCAGCGUGACCGGGGUGGGUGACGUCAUGUCCCUCUUGAUGCUUUUAGUCGCUUUCUGUUGCUGUCUUGACCCGGUCCUGAGUCCUGCCCAUGUUUGGGAGUGACUGCGCUCUCUUGCAGACAGAAUGCCAGACCUGGGUUAGGUUCUGGGGACGGAAAGUGUAUCUUAAAGACACAGUCACUGGCUUUUUAAGGAGCAUAGAGUCAGGGGUUAAGACUCUGGGAGUCUUUGGGAGGGACUUCUGUGGUACAUUUUACAACUCCAAUAUGUGUGAUAUUUGUGCCUAGAAAAACAAGUGCUAUCUUUUAAG